ensembl:lncRNA
CAUCAACCUACAUGCAGUGCAUUGUAAACUACAGGUGUGAGCCCCUGUUACAUGUUAUUUAUAACAAACUCCACUGGCACCUGUCGUGCUCACAGUGACCUCCACGCAGUGCUUGACAAAAAAAAAACUUUUUUUUUUUUCUUCUUAUUUUCAUGUGUGCGCUCGUGUCUCUCCGGAGCCUCUGUAGACGCGACACAAACACGUUGAGGCAGCAUGACUCACAUCCCCAAACCCCUCCGUUGGUGUUCAGACAGGAUUUAAACCAAAACGUACGCUUGUGUUUUAUGUUCUCAUUGAAACGUUCUCAUGCCCGACUGCAACUGAAGCGAGCCAAAGCUGCACAGUGGACGCAGGAGGCGUUCUUCAGUUUCCACUUCUGUUUUGUUUUUUUUUGUUGUUUUUUUUUCCUCACGUGUGGAGGAAGCAGCGUUCCCCUUCAAGAACACGAUGUUGUGCCUGACCAGCUUCAUAUCCUUUUUUUAUGUUGUUACUUUGAGGAAAAACACACAAAUGAAAUCCAGUGCCCACUAAAUGCUAUAUAGUAUUUUUGUACCACAUAUUGUGUAGAUAACGUAUUUAUAAGCUAUAUAGAAAAUCAUUGUAAAUCUAUCCAUUGAAUUCUUGCAGUACUUUUCAUUCCGUCUUUUUUUAUAUUGCCUCAUUAUAUUUUUCUACAGAAAAUCACUCCAAACUUACGGUGACAAUCUCCCAUCAGUCCAGUCGAAGAACAUAUCCAGGUUUUCUUGUCUGUUUAAAGUUGUUCUGAUGUUUGAAGGACUGUUGUGCCAAAUCUUUUUUUUUUUUUUUUUUUUCUGUCAAACAACGUGGAGGCAGAUGUUGGGACCAGAGGAGAAACAUGAGACGCUCGUGUCUGUCAGUCUAUUCGUGUCUUUGCGCUAUGUGUAAACUUCAAUCUUUUUUUCAUGAAUCGUCAGAGAAGUUUUGUUUCCCUUCCUGCUUUUGAGGGAGAUGAAUAACACCAGCAUGAGUUCGAAGACAAUCUGAUGUUUUACACAUUUUUUUUAGUGUUUGUCUUUAGAAUAGAAUAGAAUAGAAUUCAGCUUUAUUGUCAUUGCACAUGUCACAGGUACAGGGCAACGAAAUGCAGUUUUUAAGACAUUUUUCUGGCUUUUUAUUCACCUUAUUGUCGUCAAGAUCCACAUACAGGGUGCAAGUGAAAACGUGACAUUUUAACAUUUUAAUCAGAACUCCAAACCACUGGCAAGCAGAAACUUCAGUUCGUCUUGAUACUUGCUUGAUAAUUGUUUUGUGUUGCUUUUCCCCCCCCAUCCUUUAUUCAUGAAAACAAAAACAAAAAAGUAUUUAAUCUUGGAGUUUGUAUAAAAAAAAAAAAAAAAAGAUAAAGCCAGGACUUUGAGAUUCAGGAGUCUGAAAAUGAGGACAAAUUUUCAGUCACUGACAAAAUUCCGCACGUAUCAUGUAGCGAUAAAGUGAUUUUAUUCUGAUGCGUCCUGUUGAGACUAGCUGAAUUUCAUAUUUCCACUGAAGUGUUCUCAUUUCAUCACUCGAUGUCUUCAUGAUCUGCAGACAGUAGAAAGUAGAAAGAUAUUCUGGGGUCAAACUUCUACGGAGCCAGUGAAGUUCAGAGACAUGUUACAGUUUAAUGACUUCUCAAUAAAUUAAUCUGUGAGAACUGUUUUCUUCCUAAUAAACACCCCUGCAAUAUGUUUUAUGUUUAAGAUAUUUGUACAGAUGCUUAGCUGCUACAGACAAAAACAGCUUUUCUGGGUUUAAGGAACUUGAUAUGAUUACGUUCAUUUAUCAUCUGCAUAUUAGCAUUGACGGGGUGGAUUAUACACUCAUCAGUGCAAUAACAUUACCCAGUACAGUACUUUAAUCUCAGAUUUUUUUCUUCCCCCUCUGGGACUUGUGGCCCCUUUGCCAGUUUGCUGCUCUUUAAAGAUAACAGUUCCUUUUAAGAAACUGUUACACUCCGGUUUUGUCCUAUCCUAGUAUUUUUAGCUGCCCACUGCCCCCAAACAGUCUCGACAUGUGUCCAUAUCUGUGCGAGAGCUUCUUUGUUCUUUGGUUACAAUGAUCUGCUCUGGGAGAGGUUCUCAUUUGCUCUCUGAGCUUUAUCAAACUUUUUUCUGUACAAACCGUUGUAGCUGACUUAAACUGUGUGAAGACGGAUAAAGAAAAGAUGACUGACACGAAUCAAGAACUCAUAGUAUGAACCCUUGAUUUGAUAAUCUGCAACGGUUCGAUCCUCUGUGUUCUCCUCUGAUCGGCAUUUGCUUCCAUGAAGAGUUUUUUGAGCUUAUUAAAGUCUUUGUUGUGUCAAGUCUGUGAUCUGGGAAGUCAAAUGUGAAGAAAAUACUGUUAAGAAUUACUCAAUCUAAAAGCUUGACUGGAAUUGGAGUCAAAACUUUUUCAUAUGAUGGCAGGUUUAAGGAUUUAAAAGGUACAAAAGAAACAUUUGAGGGAAUAAAUGAUGAGUUUACUGAUUGGAUGAGUCAUUUGUCCUGAUAAAUAUUACAUGGAAUUCCACUUGGUAAAUAAAAUAAUUUGGAUAAAUCUUGGUUUAAAGAGAUGUAGCAGCUCUAGUUUGAUUGUUGUAUUUGGGAGGAAUUUACCAAGAAAACGUCCCUUCUGACUACCGUCAGGCUUUGCAGAUCCAGGGACGUUUCUGUGCAGAUUGCGAGGAAUGUGGAUGAAAAUGGUUCCAGGAAGUAGAAAUGUAAAAAGGUGUUUAAAAAAACCCAUUAAAAGCACUUUUGUCAGUUUAUUGGCGGGUCGACAGGAAAACUGUCGGGAUCUGUUUUGAUCUUGUGGUGCUUCAUGGAGACGACCAACAUUUGGUUCGUCAUGUUCGUUUAAUUUCCACUAACUGUACGUUUUUUAUACGAUGACUGCUUUACCUGUAAACCAGAUGGACCUGUACAGCCCAUCCAGCUGCCACCAUAAGCUGUUGUAACUCAUCAAAUGCUGAUUUUUUUUUUUUCUCUUUUUGUUAAAUAUAAAGUGAGUGAACUCUGCAUCUGUGUCCUGAUUCAUGUUUAGUAGGCAGAAAUGCCAAAAACAUGGUUAUUUAGAUUUCACAAUACAUCAAAAUAUGAGAAGGUACCAAUAAAUCAGAUUUAAGGCAUUUGUCUUUAGUUUUAGUAUUUUUUGCAUCCUUAGCCUGAUCAUUAAGAACAGA